GUGGCGGUAAUACGUUUGUUUCCCAACCACAAACCUCAGAGGGGAAAAAAAAAGAUUUGUUUUCAGCUUGGUCUCUGUGAUAUGUCCUGCUACUGGCUUAGUGAAAACUGUUAUAAAUGUGCUUUUAAUUCAUAAAAAAAGAUUUUAAAUUGGGUCAAUAAAUACCUGUAAUAUUCCCAUCCUCAAAGUUUUCAGACGAGCAGGAAUAUCAGGAGGUGCAGCAACUCGUCUGAGAAGAUGGUGUUUGUUAAAGAGGACACGAGUCAACCAGAACCCUGCAGAGUAAUAAAACAUCAGGAACAAGCAGACCUGAUGGAAGAGAGCGAGGAGAGUGAAGAACUGAGUGAAGUGGAACAGGAACAUCAUGACAAAUCUAGAGAAAAACUUUUGAGUCGCUCAAAGACUAAAAAGACAAUUUUAAAGAAAAGAAAAGCCAAUAAAUCUACAACCUGCACUCAGUGUGGAAAGAGUUUCACAAACAAACAUAAUCUUGAGCUUCACAUGAGGAUCCACACUGGAGAGAGGCCAUUCACAUGUGAUCAGUGUGGAAAGAGUUUCACACAAUCAUCAACCCUUAAGCUUCAUAUGAGAAUCCACACAGGUGAGAAGCAGUUCAAAUGUGAUCAGUGUGGGAAGAGAUUUCUACAAAAAACAACACUUAACGUACACAUGAAGAUCCACACUGGAGAAAAGCCAUUCAAAUGUGAUCAGUGUGGGAAGAGAUUUCUACAAAAAACACAUCUUAACGUACACAUGAAGGUCCACACUGGAGUGAAGCCGCAUGCAUGCGAUCAAUGUGGGAAGAGUUUCUCAUGCAAACAUAGUCUUGAGUGUCACAUGACGAUCCACACUGGAGAGAAACAGUUCGCAUGUGAUCAGUGCGGGAAGAGUUUUCCAUACAAAGAAAGUCUUGAGCGUCACGUGCGAGUUCAUUCUGGAGAAAAGCCCUUCAUGUGUGUUCAAUGUGAAAAGAGAUUCUCAAUCAAACCAAAUCUUGAGCGUCACAUGAGAGUCCACACUGGAGAGAAGCCGUUCACAUGUAAUCAGUGCGGGAAGAGCUUCACAAAAAAAGAAUAUCUUAUGGGGCACAUGAAUAUCCACACUGGAGAAAAGCCAUACACGUGUGAUCAGUGUGGGAAGAGUUUCACACAAUCAGCAUACCUUAAAGGCCACAUGAGAAUCCACACGAGAGAAAAGCCGUUCACAUGUGAUCAGUGUGGAAAGAGUUUCCCACAAAAACCAAAUCUUAAGGUUCACAUGAGAGUUCACACUGGAGAGAAGCCGUUCAAAUGUGAUCACUGCGGCAAAACAUUUAGUAGUGCAUCAACCCUGAAGACACACCUGGUAGUUCAUACAAAGGAGAAGCCACAUUCAUGUUCUGUGUGUGGAAAGAGUUUUUCACUGCUGCAAAGUUUACAUGUACAUCAGAAAAUACAUACUGGUGUGAGAGAGUUCAUGUGCUUUGAGUGUGAGAAGACUUUUAUUACAGCAGAUGGUUUAAAACUGCACCAGAGAAUUCACACUGGAGAAAAACCUUACAAGUGUUCACACUGUGACAAGAGAUUCAGUCGGCCAGCAAAUCUGAAAGCACAUGAGAGGAUCCACAGCGGAGAGAAGCCAUUCACAUGUGAUCAGUGUGGAAAGAGUUUCCCAUUCAAACCAAAUCUUCAGCUUCACAUGAGGGUUCAUACUGGAGAGAAGCCGUUUAAAUGUGAUCAAUGCGGUAAACAUUUUUCUAGUCCAUCAAAUCUGAAGACUCACCUUAGAGUUCAUACAAAGGAGAAGCCACAUUCAUGUUCUGUGUGUGGAAAGAGUUUUUCACAGCUGGAACAUUUACAUACACAUGAGAAAAUACACACUGGUGUGAGAGAGUUCAUUUGCUUUGAGUGUGAGAAGACUUUUAUUUCAGCAAACUGUUUAAAACAGCACCAGAGAAUUCACACUGGAGAAAAACUUUACAAGUGUUCACACUGUGACAAGAGAUUCAGUCAGUCAGGAACACUGAAAGCACAUGAGAUGAUCCACAGUGAACAAAAGCCACACACGUGUGAUCAGUGUGGAAAACGUUUCUCUAUUAAAAGUAACCUGAAGAUACACAUGAAGAUCCAUGCAGUGGAGAAACCACAUCACUGCAGUCUGAGAUCAAGUUUUCCGACGAGCAGGAAUAUCUGGAGGUGCAGCAACUCAUCGGAGAAGAUGGUGUUUGUUAAAGAGGGGAAUGAGGAGGCCACGAGUGAACCAGAACCCUGGAGAAUAAAACAUGAGGAACAAGCAGACCUGAUGGAAGAGAGCGAGGAGAUUGAAGAACUGAGUGAAGUGGAGGAGAAACAUCAUGACAAACCUGGAGAAAAACCUUUGAGUCUCUCAAAGACUAAAAAGACAUUUUUAAAGAAAAGAAGAGCCAAGAAAUCUUCAACCUGCACUCAGUGUGGAAAGAGUUUCUCAAACAAACAAAAUCUUGAGCUUCACAUGAGGAUCCACACUGGAGAGAGACCGUUCACAUGUGGUCAGUGUGGGAAGAGCUUCUGUCAUUCAUCACACCUUAAGAAUCACAUGAGGAUCCACACUGGAGAGAAGCUGUUCACAUGUGGUCAAUGUGGGAAGAGUUUCACACAAUCAUCAACCCUUAAGCUUCAUAUGAGAAUCCACACAGGAGAGAAGCAGUUCAAAUGUGAUCAGUGUGGGAAGAGAUUUCUACAAAAAACACAUCUUAAUGUACACGUGAAGGUCCACACUGGAGUGAAGCCACACACAUGCGAUCAAUGUGGGAAGAGUUUCUCAUGCAAACAUAGUCUUGAGUGUCACAUGAUGAUCCACACUGGAGAGAAGCCGUUCGCAUGUGAUCAGUGCGGGAAGAGUUUUCUGUUCAAAAAAAGACUUGAGCGUCACAUGCAAGUUCAUUCUGGAGAAAAGCCCUUCAUGUGUGAUCAGUGUGAAAAGAGAUUCUCAAUCAAACCAAAUCUUGAGCGUCACAUGAGAGUCCACACUGGAGAGAAGCCGUUCACAUGUAAUCAGUGCGGGAAGAGCUUCACAAAAAAAGUAUAUCUUAUGGGGCACAUGAAUAUCCACACUGGAGAAAAGCCAUACACGUGUGAUCAGUGUGGGAAGAGUUUCACACAAUCAGCAUACCUUAAAGCCCACAUGAGAGUCCACACGAGAGAAAAGCCGUUCCCAUGUGAUCAGUGUGGAAAGAGUUUCACACAAAAACUAAAUCUUAAGCUUCACAUGAGAGUUCACACUGGAGAGAAGCCGUUCAAAUGUGAUCACUGUGGCAAAACAUUUAAUAAGGCAACAACCCUGAAGACACACCUGGUAGUUCAUACAAAGGAGAAGCCACAUUCAUGUUCUGUGUGUCGAAAGAGUUUUUCACUGCUGAGUAAUUUAAAAGUACAUCAGAAAAUACAUACUGGCGUGAGAGAGUUCAUGUGCUUUGAGUGUGAGAAGACUUUUAUUACAGCAGAUGGUUUAAAACUGCACCAGAGGAUUCACACUGGAGAAAAACCUUACAAGUGUUCACACUGUGACAAGAGAUUCAGUCGGCCAGCAAAUCUGAAAGCUCAUGAGAGGAUCCACAGCGGAGAGAAGCCAUUCACAUGUGAUCAGUGUGGAAAGAGUUUCUCAUUCAAACCAAAUCUUAAGCUUCACAUGAGAGUUCAUACUGGAGAGAAGCCGUUCAAAUGUGAUCACUGUGGCAAACCUUUUUCUAGUCCAUCAAAUCUGAAGACUCACCUUAGAGUUCAUACAAAGGAGAAGCCACAUUCAUGUUCUGUGUGUGGAAAGAGUUUUUCACUGCUGGGAAAUUUACAUACACAUGAGAAAAUACACACUGGUAUGACAGAGUUCAUGUGCUUUAAAUGUGAGAAGACUUUUAUUUCAGCAAACUGUUUAAAACUGCACCAGAGAAUUCACACUGGAGAAAAACCUUACAAGUGUUCACACUGUGACAAGAGAUUCUGUCAGACAGGAACACUGAAAGCACAUGAGAUGAUCCACAGCAGAGAGAAGCCGCACAAGUGUGAUCAGUGUGGAAAGAGUUUCUCUUGUAAAAGUCAACUGAAGAUACACAUGAAGAUCCAUGCAGUGGAGAAACCACAUGACCGCAGUCUGAGAUCAAGAACUACCAGAAAACAUCUUGAAGGAGAGGACUGAGAGAUCCAGUGAUCCAGAACCUGCAGAUGAAACAUCACAAUACUGAAGAACAAAGAGACCUGAUGGACGUGAACAAGAAAGGAACAACAGAAGCCAAAAGUCACCUGCCCUCAGUGUAAAAAACGAUCCUCAUGUAAAUCAAUGCUGAAGAUUCACAUGAGAGUUCACACUGGUUAGAAGCGAAUCAGUGAAAUCACAUCUGCCUUCUCAUUCUGAAGAAAGACCAUUUAACUGUGAUCAGUGCGGUGAACACUGAGCAUCUGUCCUGAAGAAACACCUGAAGAUUCACACAAAGGAGAAGAUUCAUUCAUAAUAUUACAGCAGAAAAGACAUGGUGGUGUGUGUUUAAAAGCAGGUAGUCCUUUACUACAGAUGAUGAAUUAAAAGAGCAGCAGAAAAUUCACACUGGGAAAAAACAAAACUAAGACAAGAGAUUAAACCAAACACGAUAAAGCAUCUCUUCCAUAGAAAUCUGUCCUGAUCAGCUGCAGUGAGAGAUACGACAAAGAAACAUCAUCCAAAGCUCAUCUUCAGGAAUUUAUGUUAAUGUUCCUAAUGGAUUUGUAUCACUUUCAUAUCAUACUGAACAUAUCAAGUUCUCUUUUAUGAAAGAAAGUAGUAGUUUUUUUUUUUGUUUUUUUUUUUAAAUGAACUCAGUGAAUCUGAUAUUAAUUGAAUCUGAUAUUAAUUUUAACUUGUUCUUCAUUGUUUUUCAUUAAAACAUCUAGUUUCUCUUCCAUUUCUACUCUUCCAUUCAAGUGUAAGAUAUACUUUCAUAUAGCCUUGAAACUGGACACUUUGCUUCUCUUCUACUAAUGCAUAAUAAAUCAUAUUUCACCACA